CAGCCCAGCUGUACGAUUUAUGUGCCGCUGUGUUUUCGUCUUCCGCGUGUCUUCUGCUCUUCUCUCCACCGAACGACCGCUUGGGGGAGAGACAGGAGAUCAGACAGUGCUGCAAAGAAAGUUCAAGAUAGAGAGAAUCCUGCCUGUCUCAAGUAAAUCUCGAUUGCCCCGGAGUGUUGUGCUGUCUCUUUCUGGCCAUCUGCCGUGUUGUUCUGUUGCCACGAAGAGAGAGGGUUCGAUCAGUAGUUUGCAUAAAAAGAGAGGUACAGUAUCGAUUUGAUCCAAGAGACAUAAAAAGAGAGAGGGCCAGGAAUUUGCAUGACCGGCGGUUUCAGCUGUUUUGGCGCAGAGAUUUUGGUUGUCGUUUGCUGACGAGUCUGAAGUAAUUCCCUCUGAUGUUAAAAAGUAGGAUUGUUCGAGGUUCAAUCUUCUCAGGAGUAUUUGGUUGGAAACAAACAAAGAAAGGAAGUAGGAUCAAUAUUCGGGAACCUCUCCUUCUGGAAAAACAGGUCCACCUGACCCGAUCCCAGCAUCAAGUAGAUCUUGGUAAGAUUUUUUUUAAUUUUCUACCUACAGGACUUCUCAAUGUGCAUGCAUCCCUAAAUUACAGUGUUAACCUAUCUCAAGUUUCUGGAAUGUUUACUUAUCAUUUAAGUCAUCAACUGUGAAAAAGGCUAGCACUAGGAGCUACCAAAGAUAUCUCCAGCAAUAAAGCCUUAUUAUUGUUACAAGUAUAUGCUAUGCCUUUUGUUAUUUAUAAUUACUGAUCACUACACAAAAAUUUUGAAAACAAAUCAUCAAUGGACCUAUGGAGAAACGUAUGGGAUUAUGUUUAGAUCUUCAAGGACCAUCCAAUUUAAUGGUUUAGUUGUCUGAGGUAAUGUCCUUUUGAAUUUCAUUGAUCUGAAUGCACAAUUCAAUUGGGAUUGCAAUGAAUUUGUGUUCUUUGUUUCCAUGUUCAAAUCAGAUGUAUUAUAGAUUUAGAGUGAUAGGACCUGCAUUUUGGUAUUCAAAAUCUAAACUGAUGCUUUAUGAGGUUUAGCUUGGGUAUUAGUUUGUUUAUUAUGUUGGGGAUGUUAUAGUUUAGGGAUUCAGUAUGUAAUAGUAUGGAAUAAACUGAGCAAUGGGAUAAACUGAUAUAAACUCUGCUUGAGCCCAUAAUAUUAUCAGCCUCUUGCUUUUGGAGUUUUGAUAAUAACUUUCUUCUGUAUCAACUAAUAAGAUGGUAAAGACCAACAAAAUAAGUCCAUCUAUGCUUUCUGUUUGUUUAAUUGUGUUUACUUGUAUGUAAUGUUUUAUUUAGGUACCAGCAAUUCUUUAGCUUUCAUGGCAAAGUUGAUCUCUUUUUCUUUUGUGUACAAGAUUGCUUUCAUAUUGUACUUGGUCUGACUAUUCUUGCUGUUAGCCACUUUUGUUAUUCUUUUCAUGUUUUUGUUUUCGAGUAUGCAGCUCUGAAGCUCAAAAGAUCAACUCAUUAGUAUUUAGAUUAUAAAGAAUGAGAUCUUGAAGCCAAAUACAUGGAUGCAGAAUGCUAAAAACAACAGCAAAAAAUUGAUGGAUCAAUCUGCUAUUGGGUUGUCUCCUUGGAAAAGGGCAUUGUGUGCUUCUUAGACAAGCAGAACUAAAAAUUACAUUGGUGGAUCUGCAUGCGAAUGAGGUUUGCUUCUUACUAAAUGCAUAGAGCAAACAAGUUGAAGGAAAUCUGUCUUUUGUGACAGACUUCUGUUAUGCAAAGCAAAGCCAGGGAAAUGUGGAGAUUUGUUGCAUCAUGAAAGUGAGGCUUACUCUUGAGGAAAGGAGAGGAGACAAUUUGUGGGUUCCGCCGAUACACAGCAAAAGAGGAGACGAGAGGAGGGACAAGGGGAUGGGAAGAGCAUGAAUCUGGUAUUUGAUUGUUAAUGCAUCAGGUGAAAGUCAUUCAGUUUGUAAUUGUCUCUUUGAUUGGAUGGGAUGUGCUUAUCUUUAGUGGAUACAAGUUUUUCACCGGAGACAAAGGCAAGAAGGAAGAGCUUCAGAGUCACUCUUCUCAUUGAAGAUGAGACUGAUCAAGCACAUGCAGUCUUAACGGGUAAAGAAGCAGAAGAAAUCUGUGGAAUCUCAUGCGAGAACUUGAUUAUCAAGAAAAACUGCAAAAAACCAAAGAAUCAUACCACAAGAAAUUCUUCAAUUAGAAGGAGAGAUCAAACUGCUGAAAUUGAAGACUGGAACAAAAAGAGAUUUCCUUAUAAAGGGGGUGGGUAUACAAAGAUGUUCACAAGUUCACACCAACUCAAGAUAUCGAACCAACAACUUCCAUGCCAAAUCCUCUUAGAUUUGGGAAGAAGAGGGGAAGGAAUUAUUCAAAGCAAAACCAAGCAAGAACCCAAAAAGGCAAGUCUUAAAAUCAUCGCGACAGAUUUUCUUUCCACUUAUUUUCUGCAUUUUAUCUACUCUGUCCAUUCAGUUUAGGCAUCCCUGAAUUAAUGACACAAUCUUUUAUACAAAACCUUCAUGUGCUUUGUAUAUUUCAGUGACAACUUUGAACCAUCAGAUCAGAGCAGCAAAAAUACAUCGGCUCAAUCUGACAAAGAAGACUUGACCUAGCCACUUCUGCUUUGCAAUCCAAUGCUUUCUGCCUUUUUGUGAUGAGCACCAAUAUCUAUAGUUUUUUGUAGUGCUAAUGGUCCUUGAAAAACAAUGUCAUGCUGUGACAUAUAAGCACCGGUUGUCAGGACCAUUCUCUAUGUUUUUUGUAAUGCUAAUGGUCCCUGAAAAACAAUCAACCAAGACAGCAGAUCUUCUGUACAUCAACUAAUCAAUGUACAUAAAAGCUUUUUGGCUGUUCUUCUU